CCGAGAUUCUCCUGCAGAGGGGCAUGCUCAGUUUUGGAAAAUAAUGGAGAAGCCAUGAAGAUUCGGUGCUGCCUUGGAGAAAACCGUGUCUCUUAGUCCCUCAUAUUCACGCUGCCAGCUUUGCAUGGUGAAUUACGUGUAGAGCUAGAAAUUUCCUUGGAGACAUAUGUCCCACUUUGUCCACCUAUGAUGCAUGUGUAUUUUCCACUAGACAACACACAAAAUAUAAUUCUUUUCAAA